rnacentral:misc_RNA from 1 species
AACAAGGCGUACCUGCGGACCUGCGGAGGGAUCAUUACAAGUGACCCCGGUCUAACCACCGGGAUGUUCAUAACCCUUUGUUGUCCGACUCUGUUGCCUCCGGGGCGACCCUGCCUUCGGGCGGGGGCUCCGGGUGGACACUUCAAACUCUUGCGUAACUUUGCAGUCUGAGUAAAUUUAAUUAAUAAAUUAAAACUUUUAACAAUGGAUCU